rnacentral:lncRNA from 1 species
CUACGAGUUCCGCCGACGAGAGAUCCAAUAUAUGGUGAAGAAUAUCCAUGGGAAAAUCGGGUCACCCAUUAACCUCAGUGAACAAAUAUUCUUAACAGCGUUCAACGUUACAAUUAACAUGCUAUGGGGUGGUUCGCUGAACGGAGAAGAAUCGAACCUUGGGCUUGAAUUUAGGGAUCAAUUCAAGGAAUUUGUGAAAUUGAUGGUAGAACCCAACAUUUCUGAUAUGUUCCCGAUGCUUAGGCCAUUCGAUUUACAAGGAAUUGAAUCCAAGGCCAAAAAGCAUAUUUCAUGGUUAUAUGGGUUUUUCGAAUUGGUGAUAGAGCAACGAAAGCUCGGAGAGGGACCAAACAUGGCUGAUAGUAAGGAUUUUUUGCAGCAAUUGUUGGAGCUGAACCGAACAGGAGAUGUCAAAACUUCAUUAUCCAUGAAGGAAAUAAACGCUAUGCUGCUGGUAAGCAUACACACUAAAUUUGAAAUCCGGGAUUCUAAAAAUAAAACUACAUUACUGAACUUCAAAAUUUACAAAAACUAUAAAGGAUUAUUACGUAUUUUAACGUUAUAUAUAUAUAGAUAAAAUUUUACUUUGAUAUGUAGAGAUAUUGGAUUGAUAAAAAAUUUUAUGUGCAUGAGAAGUGCAAAUAUAUUGAUAAAUUCACCUGUUGAACUUUUAAAAUAUUUAUCAUAAGAAGUUACCGAAGGGUUCAACACCACUUAAGUUUUACAUUUGAUAUAUAUACACAUAUGGGGAGGGAUCCACCUACACCGGUAUACACUUAAAGUUUUUAUAUGAUUAAUAUUUUAACCGUCUAACUGUUUUUCAUGUUCCAUUUAUAUAAAUCAUUCAUGUUAAAUUUGAAAUAAAUUAAAAUUUUCUAACUAUUUAUUAUGUAUAAAAAAACUUUAAACCAUUCAAUAAGUAUUAAUAUAGACACCUUUUUAGAUCGAUAUAAUAGAGAUAUCGAAUUAAUUUGAAAUUUACAUGAAUGAUAAGUACGAUUAUAUCAAUAAAUUCAACAGUUGAUUUGUUCAAAUAUUAAACGUAUAAAUAUAUACGGAAAUGUGUAAAUUACUCCAGUUCCACAUCGAUGUAAGUUGAUCCCUUCCCAUACAUAUAAAUAUAUAUGUAUAUAUAUAGGUAUGGUUUAAAAAAAGCACAUAGCAAUCCAUGAAAUUGGUUGGUAUAGUUAUAAACGAUAUGAUUUAGGAGAUUUAUGGUAUCUUCUGUAAGGUGUGUAAUGAAACUUAAAAAAUUAGUCGAUUUUUCAAAAAUAAAUAUUAGUAACCGAGCUAAUUUAAAGAUAAAGUUUUAAUAAUCCAACCGGUUCUGAUUUAUAUGAAAAAAUAAAGAACAUUGACAGAUUUCAUUAUUUUUGUUAAAAUAUAUUUAGGUUUAGGCUUUGAAUAAACUAUAGACACAUUGUUAUUAUUUUUAUUUCAAUAAAAUUUAGGAUUUUAUCUCUAAACAAGUUAAUUUUUUUAUUUAAAGUCUUAAUUUAACUAUUAAUAUCAAAAAUAUUUUUGGUCAAAAUUUAUCAACUUGAAAUGUUAAUUUAAAUGUCAUCAUAUGAUGUGAUAAUUUUUGAUAAAAAUAAACGUGAUAAGUUAAUAAAAUUUAACUGAAAUAAAGUGUUAAAUGACCAAACUGCAAAUUUUAAAUUGAAAAUAUAUUGAAUAAAUCUCAAAGUAGAAGUAUUUUGACCUUUGAAUAAAGUUACAUUUAAUUGGAUUGGAACUUAUUUUAAAGUAUAUAAAAUUUAUAAUAUAAAAUCAAUUAAUUCGGCUAUUGAUAUAAAAAUAAACAUUCAACCUACGUAAUGAAUUUUAAUUUAACAGACUAAUCAAAAGCAAAUUAAUAGAAUUAAAUUAAUUAAAUUAUUUUGAUUUUAUCGAUUAAUAUGAUUUUAAUUAAGUUUGUUUAACUUUAAUCCUUUUGUCUUUAAUUGUGAGUAUAGAAUAUUGUAACCGGCGCUACGGACACAACAUUUACAACAAUAGAAUGGGCGAUGACAGAAUUACUACGACACUCAAAUAAAUUGCAAAGAGUAGUUGAGGAAUUGGAUGCAAUAAUCGGUGACCAAAACAUCGUUGAAGAGUUUCAUCUUCCUCGCUUACUCUAUUUAGAAGCUGUGGUGAAAGAGACGUUACGAAUUCACCCACCGGCUCCUUUGCUAAUGCCACACAUGUCGAGUGAGACCACUAUCAUAGGCGGUUACACUAUCCCUAAAAAUUCCAAUAUUUACUUCAACGUGUGGGCAAUACAAAGAGACGCCGAGUUCUGGGAAGACCCACUUCAAUUCGAGCCAGAAAGGUUUUUGAAUGUCAUUGAGAAAAGGAAUUAUAAGGGAAAUAGUUUCGAUUUUUUCCCGUUUGGAUCGGGGAGGAGGAUUUGUGUUGGGAUUUCAAUGGCAGAGAAAAUUAUUAUGCUGAUGUUGGCGACGUUGUUGCAUUGCUUUGAAUGGGAAUUACCAAACGGGCGAAAACCUGAUGUGAAAGAGAAGCUACAUUUGUUAUUGUCAAAGGUAGAGCCGCUUGUUGUCGUGCCUAUUUCACGUUCCUCUAAGUGGCGACAUUGUGGUUAAAACAUGCUUUUUGUCACUAUACUUUUAAUAACUUUAGAAUUUAAUACUUGUUAUUUUAUUUCCAUAAAUUUAUUUCUCUACUUUUUUUUUAUUAGUAUUGUAAUAACCAUUUUCUAUUCGAGUUAUGCUCAUAUCUAGGUUAAUUUGAAUAUCUUUUCAGGUUAAAUUUUAUUCAAAUUUUAUGUUUUGUUUAAAAUUUAUAACUUAAUCUAAUUUUGGACUUUGAUCAUGAAUUUUUCUUAAAAUUCCAAUGUUAUGUGUGUUUUUUUUUAAUAAAAUAAAACUCGAAAUGUGAAAAUACAUCAAACUUAGAAUUUUGAUUUUGAGACUAGUUUAUCAAUUUUAUAUUAAGGAGCUCAUUAUAAAUAAGAUAUUUUGUGUUUAUUUUAUAAAUUCAAUAUUAAUAUGCAUAUGUGGUAUAAUACAAUAUAUUAUAUUAUUAUAAUUAAAAAGAUAUUUUGUGUCUUACUAUGGAAUUAGUUAUAUUGUAACAAAAUUUUAAUUUGAUAUGUUUAAUUUUUUAAAUUUAACUCGAACAAUUUCACUCGAUUCGAUUUGAUUCGACUCGAAUUUUAUUUAACUUGACUCGAUUCAAAAAAAUUUAAAAUCAAAUUAAAAUGAUAAAAUAGGACUCAACUCAAAAAACUUUUACUCAACCCAAUCGAAUGCUCACCCCUACAUGAUCACCGUCAAAAGCAAAAAAUUCAUGUGUAAAGCGUUCCAAGCUUAUUUGAAUGCUUUUAGAAAUUUUUGGUACAAAUAUCGUGGAAGCCCUUGUAUAAAGUGUUAGAUUGUAUUUUGCCCUAUUUACUCAAAAAAUAGGCAGAUUAUUCCUUGUAUAUUAUAUUAAAGAGAAAACUGAUCUUUUUUUGUUAAAAAUUUUAUAUAUUUCUAUUACUAAAAUUGACAUGGCUAACAAAAUAAUCAAACAAUAACACAUGGCUUGCCACAUAUGCCUCAUGUUGACGUACAAAGACAAGUUUUUUACAAUAUAAUUGUUGAAGGUUAAAGUUAACAGCUAGUGAUAAACUACCACGUCAAUUUUUCAUUAGUCAUUUAACGGCUGGUGAUAGAAAAAGAUAAAAAUCAAAUAAUUAAAUAAUUAUUUUAUAACUUUUUAUAGUUGAGUAAUCAAUAAUUAAACUUGAUUAGGAGUAUAAUUUAUGUUUUUUUUUAAAUAGAAGUAUGCGAUGGAGAGAGAUAUAUAUGAACGAUUUUUUAUCCCACUAACUCUCCCAUCUGCCCUGGAGUACUUUAGCCAACCAGCAGAAAUCUCUUUGCAAUAAGCUUUCACCAAUUCAACAAGUUACAAGAUAAAAUAUUUAGCAUAAUUUUUUGUAUUUCUUCAUAAUAAUUGAUAUAUUUUUAUAAUGUUUGAUAUUUCUUCAUAAUUUUCGGUACACUUUAAUAAUUUUUGGUUUUCUCUUAUAAUUUUGGUAUAGUUUUUGAAAUGAAAAUUUAAAAUGAGAUAUAAUUUUAGAGUAAAAAGGUUUUCAACGCGACAUUUAGACCCAAAAAAUUAAUAACUUUUAAAUUAUUAUUUUUCAUGCUAUUAUUUAUAUAUAGUGAUAAUUUUUUAAAAAUUAAAAAAUUUAAUAAGAUCAACCAAUUUUUUAUAGUCACUUAUAAUUUUUGGUACUCUUUAAUGUUUUUUUAUUAUAUUUCUUUGUAUUUUUUGAUAUUCUCUCAUAAGUUUUUGGUGAUUCCUUGGAUACUUAUAUAGUUGCAUUUUUGUCUUGUUGUUUAUUUAAAGAGCGUUUUUCAUUUUUGGAUUGAUUAAAGGUCUAAACUUAGCAUUUUGAUUUUUGUUUCAAUUUUGUUGGUGAGAAAGCAGUCGGAAAAUGAAAGAAAAUACUUUAACAUCACUUUAUUUAUUUAUUUAAUUUUUUAAAAAAGAUGUUAUUUUCACACUAAAAUAAGGUUGUCUAGAUCCAGUCUGCCUCAUGAAUUUUGAAUUGAUCUACUCCGAAUGAAGCGGAUUUUUUUGUUUGAAAAAUAGACAUGGGACGAGUCGGGUGGAUUUUUUUCUUUUGAAUAGUGGAUAUGGAGUGACUAUGGUAAUUUCUUGCCAUUUCUGACAUGCUCCACUAUAUACACUUAUUGUUUUAUCCUUAUAUAUAAACUAUUAAAAAGGUAAAAAUAUAAUAAUGGAAUAUAGAAAAAAUUCAUAUAUUUUAUGUUUAAAUAUAUUUUUAAAGAAUUAUGCUUAAAUAUUUACUUGACUUUAAAAAGAUUAAAAAUAAAAAUAAGUAGCAACAAUUAAAUUAAACAGAGCCGAGUGGGGUGGAGAUGAAUGCAUCCAACAUCCAUGAAUGUGAUAGUAAAUUUUAAAAUUAUACAUUCAUAGUAGAAUGAUAUGAGUGGUAAAACAGAGUGUACUAAUUAUGAAACAAUAAUGAAUUUAAAAAUAUCAGUCUUGCUGCACCCAAUUGCCAUUCUUUCAUCCAUCUUUGUAUUCAAAUUUAGUGAUUGAGAGAGUUAUCACAUAAGUACAUUUUCUCUAAUUUUUUAAUUACAGAAUGCGACUUUUUUUUUUUAAUUAAGAAGCAUCACCUUCAAUAGUUAAUAACUUAUUUAUUAAAAAACAAAAAAAGGAGUAAAAUAUUUAAAAUAAAAAAUAAGAAGAGUUGAAAGUUUGUGUUAUGCUUUGGUUGAAUAUAUAUAUAUAUACAAAAAGGUUAUAAAAUAUAUAAAUUUAGUUUUAUAAAGAUUUCAUUUAGAUUUAUUCAGAUUUUAUUUACUAAAGAAUAGUUUCACGUGUAAUUACAUUCAAAAUUUAUAAUUUGUAAACGAUUCAAUGACGUGUAAAAUAUGUAUAAAAAAUUUAUAAAAUUCCAAUUAUUUAGGAAAGUGGUGAAGUACAUGAUCAUUUAAUAAUUCAAAUAAGUCCUCUGCCUUUUUUUAUUCCAACGAAAGUAAACGAUAAAAUUAUAUUUUUAUUAUUAUAAAAAUAUAUUUUUCAAUUUUAAUUUUUUUCAAAAGAGAUUUUAUUUCGUAUUUACCCCUAAAUCGUAUUUCUAGAUUCGUAACAGCAUAUGAAUAUUAUUGAGUUUAUCAUGUACCAAAGACUUGUAUUUAAUAUAAUAAUUUUUUUUAUUUUUUUAUUUUUUUGUAAAUUAAAAUAUCAAGGCCAAGUUCAAACAAUAAAUAUAAUUAACGCGACUCGAACUAAAAACGUACUUAAGACAAGCGAUAAAUACUUUUAACUAUCAAACUAUAACAUAGAGUUCAAUUUUAUUUAUUUUCAAUUGAAGAAUAAUUCAUAAAUUAUUGUGUAUAAUUAUAAUCAAAAUUUCCAUUUCUGGAAAGUUGACAUUAAUUGUUUAAUCACAUUUACAAUAUUUUAUUGCCACGAAUGAGGUAUUGCCAUAACCUUCAAUAGCCGCACCCUCAUAUUGCUGUAACCUCCUCUUGCUAUAUAUAUAUAUGAUUAUAAUUAAGUCCUUCGGCGAGUGGUGAAGUCCAUAAUUUUUUAAUAAUUCAAAUAAGUCCUCCAUUUCAUCUGCCUUUUUUCUAUUCCAACCCGAGUACCCACCAAUGUCGAACUUCUACAACAAGGUUACUGGCGAAGGUUGGUCGCGCCGCCAAGACGGAGUGGCUGCGUUCACCAUCACUGAAGUGGCAGCCACUCUCACGGUGGCGACGCUAGUAAUUAUCUUUUUUUCAUGGUUGGUUAAGAAACUCAUCAUCAAAACCAAGCCGUCGCCGCCGCCGCCACCAGGCCCGAUAGGCUUGCCGAUACUCGGCCACCUCCUUUUCAUCAAACCCGAUUUCCUCCAUUAUGUAACCAAGCAAUCCCAAAUCCACGGCCCUAUCAUCAAACUUCAGCUGGGAAGAAAAGUUUACAUCAUCAUAAGCUCACCAUCAAUCGCAAAACAAAUCCUCAAAGACCACGACGCCAUCUUCGCCAACCGCGACAUUCCGAUGGCGGCCAUAAAAGGAACCUUUGGCGGACUCGACAUUGUGUGGAGAUCCAAUGGCCCAGAAUUACACAAGCUACGAAAGCUCGUCGUAAGUGAAAUCAUGAGCAACAAAGGCCUCAAUGCUUGCUACGAGUUUCGCCGACGAGAGAUCCGACAUAUGGUGAAGAAUAUUCAUGGAAAAAUCGGGUCACCCAUUAACCUCAGUGAACAAAUUUUCUUAACAACGUUCAACGUUACGGUUAACAUGCUAUGGGGUGGUUCGUUGAAUGGAAAAGAAUCCAACCUUGGGCUUGAAUUUAAGGAUCGAUUCGAGGAAUUUUUGAGAUUGAUGGUAGAACCCAAUGUUUCUGAUAUGUUCCCGGUGCUUAGGCCAUUUGAUUUACAAGGAAUUGAAUCCAAAGCCAAGAAAAACAUUUCGUGGUUUUAUGAGUUUUUCGAAUCGGUGAUAGAGCAGCGAAGGAAGCUCGGAGAGGGACCAAAAAUGGCUGAUAGUAAGGAUUUUUUGCAGCAAUUGUUGGAGCUGAACCAAACAGGAGAUGUCAAAACUUCAUUAUCCAUGAAGGAAAUAAACGCUAUGCUGCUGGUAAGCAUACAGACUAAUUCUAAAAAUAUAACUACAUUACUAAAUUUCAAAAUUUACAAAAACUAACCUAUUUUAACUUAGGUAGAGAUUCGGGUAUAUUGGUGUAAAACAAAUUUAAUUGGUUUUAUAUUCUUUCUUAAUUUUUCAAAUGAAUAAUAUUUUAAUAAAUUAACUGUUAUAUUUCAUAAAUUAUCCAGGUAGAUUAUGCAUGUUAAGUUUGUUAUAAAUUAAAAAAGUUUAACUAUUCAUUUUUUUUAAAAAAAUUAAAUGUUUAUUCGUUAUAAUAUUAAUCGUACAAAAAUAUACAGAAAUAUAUAAAUUACUCAAAUUUCACAUCGAAGUAAAUUCAUCCUUUCCUUUAUAUAUGGAAUUGGUCGGUUUAGUUGUAAACAAUAUGAUUUUGGAGAUUUCUGAUAUGUUUUAUAGGGUCUGUAAUUGGUUGAUUUAAUUAGUUCAGCUUAAAAAAAUUAAUUGAUUUUUCUAAAAUAAAAAUUAGUAACCGAGCUAAUUUAACGAUGAAAACACAAUAAUCAAACCGAUUGUGAUUUAAUUAAAAAAUAAGGAAUAUUGAUGGAUUUCAUUAUUUUUGUUAAAAUAUAUUUAGGUUUAGGUUUUGAAUAACCUUAAAACACAUUGUUAGUGUUUUUAUUUCGAUAAAAUUUAAGAUUUUGUCUCUAAAGAAGUUAAAUUUUUUAUUCAAAAUCUUAAUUCAACGGUUAAUGUGAGAAAUAUUUUUUGUCAAAAUUUAUCAACUUAAAAUGUUAAUUCGAGUGUUUUCAUAUAAUUUGAUAAUAAUUGAUAAAAAUUAAGUUAAUAAAAUUUAACUGAAUUAUUAAAGGUGUUAAUGACUAAACUACAAUUUUUAAAUUGAAAAUAUAAUGAAUAAAUCUCAAAAGAAGUAUUUUGACCUUUGAAUAAUUGGUACAUUUAAUUGAUUGUAACUUAUUUUAAAGUAUAUAAAAUUAAUUAAUUCAGCUAUUGAUAUACAUUCAACCUAUAUAAUGUAUUUUAAUUUAACACUCUAAUCAUAAUUAAAUUAAUUAAAUUAUCUCGAUUAGAUCGAUUAAUUUGAUUUUAAUUAAAAUUUGCUCAACUUUAAUCCUUUGUCUCUAAUUGUGGGUAUAGAAUAUUAUAAGCGGCGCUACGGACACAACAUUUACAACAAUGGAGUGGGCAAUGACGGAAUUACUACGACACCCAGAUAAAUUGCGAAGAGUCGUCGACGAAUUGGAUGCAACAAUCAGUGGCCCAAACAUCGUUGAAGAGUUCCAUCUUCCUCGCCUACUCUAUUUAGAAGCUGUGGUGAAAGAGACAUUACGAAUUCACCCACCAGCUCCUUUGCUAAUGCCACACAUGUCGAGUGAGACCACCGUCGUAGCCGGUUACACUAUCCCAAAAAAUUCCAAUAUUUUCUUUAACGUGUGGGCAAUACAAAGGGACGCCGAUUUUUGGGAAGACCCUCUUCAAUUCGAGCCAGAAAGGUUCUUGAAUGUCAUUGAGAAAAGGAAUUAUAAGGGCAAUAGUUUCGAUUUUUUCCCGUUUGGAUCGGGGAGGAGGAUUUGUGUUGGGAUUUCAAUGGCAGAGAAAAUUAUGAUGCUGGUGUUGGCGACGUUGUUGCAUUGUUUUGAAUGGGAAUUGCCGAAUGGGCGAAAACCUGAUGUGAAAGAGCAACUACGAUUGGUGUUGUCGAAGGUGGAGCCGCUUGUUGUUGUGCCCAUUGCGCGUUCAUCUAAUUCAAUGCAAUAUCUAUAAUACCCCUAACCGUAUCCGUCACUGGAACAGAGUUUCGGAGCGUUACCUAAGUUUAUAGAUUAAUUUCGAAAAAAUCAUGCAAAAGUACUAUUCACAUUCAGAAAUAAUCAUAUUGUCCCUUAAUUGGACUAUCGAAGCCCAAUAUGAACAGUAAAAUCAAAUCAGGACUAAUUCGGAAGCUUUAAGAACUUUUCGUAAAAUUAUAAAAUUUUUCUUAUGAGCAGUGCCCACACGCCCGUAUGGUUUAGGGGCACGCCCGUGUGGCUUUACACGCCCGUGUCACUCACCCGUAUAACUCUCUGACUUAUAAGACAUGAAGAAAUCUACGUCACACGGCCAAGUUACACGCCGGUAUGCUAGGCCGUGUGGUUAAUUUAAUUUUCAUAAUUUAGGUGCAGUUUUCACACGGCCAUGUAACCCGCCCGUGUCAACGUCAUGUCACCCACAUGGCUGAGACACACGCCCGUGUCUCUGCCCUUAUGCUCAAUUUUGAGCAUUCUAUUUCUCAUUUUUAAGGUGCAGGGGACACACGGCCAAAACACAUUCCCAUAUGCCAGGCCGUGUGUCUACCUUUGUGGACGAAGAUAGGCUAUUUUAAGGCCACUUUUCUCACCCUUUACACAUUCAACCUGCAUACAAUACUUUCAUAUACCAAUAUACUCCAAUUCAACAACCAAUUCAAAUCAAUAACUCAUAUGGUAAGCCAAAUUUAUAAUUACACUACUUAUUUAUGUAAACUUACUGUUUUAUUUCUUUCAUCAACCACCUUGAUAUACUAGUAAAUACAAACACAUAAACUAACAUAUAUAUAUGAAAGUCAUUCAUAACCAUAUUUCAAGUUUACUUUCUUUCCAAUCCAUCCUAUACAUGCCAUAUAAACCUCAAGUUAUAAUACAAAAUCUACCGGUGAAAUCUGGAUAGCGUGACUCGUUGUGAUGAUCCAAUUCUCCAAACUCUUGUUAAUCUACAAAGAACAUUUAAUACACAAAAGUAAGCUUAUGAAAGCUUAGUAAGUUCAUAGGUUUUAGAUAAAACCUUACUGAACAUAAUAUUAUAAAAUCAUAAAAUAUGCAAUUCACUACCACUUUUUGCCAUUCACAAUUUCAAAUGAUGAAUUCACUUGAUUGAGCUCAAUAUCAAUGACUAGCUAAAUUCCAACACUUAAAUUCAAGAAACACUUACCGUUACCUGUCAAAUUAGGGAACGUCUUACAGAAUUGAGUACAUCAUUAGCUUGAUGCCACAUUCCACUUUGGUUUUGCACACAUUUUUAUCAUGGCUUUGCCAUUAUCACAUACUUUAUCACAUUGCCAUAGCUUAACUAUGGUCUUGCACUUGCACAUAUUUUAUCAUGGCCUUGCCAUGAUCACAUGAUUUAUCACAUUGCCAUAGCUUAGCUAUGGUCUUACACUGGCAAAAAAAUGUAACUGCUAUGUUUCAAUCAUGGUUUUACGUUCACUUUCACAUUGUCAUAGCUCCGCUAUGGUCACACAUGUCACACUUUUCCAUGAUUUAACCAUGAUCUUAUCCGUCAAUUCAUCACUGGUCACUAAUUAAACAUACUCAAUCCUGCAUUUCCCUUAAUUUGAACUGUAGCUUCGAAUUUUGUUUUAUCACAAUAAUCAUAAUUUCAUAACAAAAAUAUAAAAUAAUACAUUAUAUAAUCUCUAAUUUAACAAUCAAUUAUAAAAUUUAACCAUAUAAACUUACCUGGGCUAAUUUAUGAAAGUUGUAGAAAUUCAAGGAUUAAUCGAAAAUUUUCUCUUUUCCUCGCUUAUCUUCGGAUUCUCGAUAUGGUGCAAAAAUAUGAAAAACCAGCUUGUUUCAGACCUCCUCUGGCGUUUUGGCUGAUGAAUUAUGAAGAGAUCUCUAGAUUUUUCAAUUUAGUCACUUGUUUUAUAUUUAAUUUUAACCAAAUUACCAUUUUGUCCUUAGUUCACAUUGUUUUCUUGUCCAUUUCUAUACCCAUACCGUCCAGCCCAAAUGAUUUGGGUCUAAUUGCCUUUUAAAUCCUUCCUCAUUAGACACUUAAGCUAUUCAAUCACUUUUGCAAGUUUUGCAUCUUUUACAAUUUAGUCUUUUUUGAUUUUUCAACUAUCAAAACGUUAAAAUUUUCUGACGAAACUUUAAUAUUAACUCAAUAACACUCCAUAAAUAUUUCUAAAAUAUUUAUGGCUCGGUUUAUGAAUUCGAGGUCUCAAUACCUCGUUUUUGACCCAAUUUAUCUAAUAAGUUCUUCUAAUUCUCCAACUUCACUAAUUCAAAGCUUCUUCUAUUGUCAUACUUGUCUCACAUAUAUUAUUUUUAUUAAAUCUUUGAACUCACUUGUCGGAUUUAGUGAUAUCGAAUCACUGUUUUCGACACCACUGAAAAUUAGAUUGUUACAAUAUCAAUAAAUUUGUGGUUAAAAUAUGCUUUAAGUCAUUAUACUUUUCAUAAAUUUUAAAUUUAAUCAUUGUACUUUUAUUUAUAGAAAUUUAAUCCAUCUACCUUUUUUUUUUAGUAUUCACGCUCAGAUUUUGGUUAAUUCGAAUAUUUUUUUGGAUUCAAUUUAACUCAAAUUUCGAGUUUUAUUUAAAAUUUGAAAUUUAGAAUUUAAUCAAAAUUUAAACUUUGUCAUGAAUCUCAAUUUGUAUUUAUUUUUUGAAAUGAAACCCGAAAUGUGGAAUUACAUAAAACUUGAAAUUGAAGCUCGAGACUAGUGAAUCAAUGUUAUAUUAAGGUAUAAAUAAGAUAUUUUGUGUUUAUAUUAUAAUUUCAUUAUUAAUAUGCAUAUGUUGUAAUAAUAUAAUAUUAAAAGGAAAAGAGAUAAAGCAUGGUGAGUGGGGCGACAUUCACCAUACCAUGCAUCAAAUAGAUGCUGAUUUGAAUAUAUAUAUAUAAAGAGAAGAGAUAAUCACUCGGUUAAUAUGAAUAUUAAUCAUCUUAUUAUCCACUAAAUACUUAUAUUUAAUACAAUAAUUAAGUUUAGUUUUAUUUAUCUGUGUAGUUACAGUCCAAAUUUCUAUCUCUAGAAAGUCCAACAUUUCUGGAAGGUUGAUGAUAAUUGUUUAUCACAUUUAGAACAUUUAUGGCGACAGAUGAGGAAAUGCUAUUACCUCCAAUACCCGCUAACCUCAUAUUGCUGUAAUCUCAGUAUUAUUAUAUAUGACUAUAAAUAAGUCUUCCAAUUCUCAGGGAAGUGGUGAAUUACAUAAUUUUUUAAUAAUUCAAAUAAGUACUCCAUUCCCUCCGCCUUUUUUCUAUUCCAACCAGACUACCCACCCAUGUCGAACUUCUACGAUAAGGUUGCUGGCAAAGGUUGGUUGCGCCGCCACGACGGACUGGCUGCGUUCACCAUCACCGAAGUGGUAGCCACUCUCACGGUGGCGACGCUAGUAAUUAUCUAUUUCUCACGGUUGGUUAAGAAACUCAUCAUCAAAACCAAGCCUUCGCCGCUGCCACCAGGCCCGAUAGGCCUGCCGAUACUCGGCCACCGCCUUUUCAUCAAACCCAAUUUCCUCCAAUACGUAACCGAGCAAUCCAAAAUCCACGGCCCUAUCAUCAAGCUUCAGCUGGGAAGAAAAGUUUACAUCAUCAUAAGCUCACCAUCAAUCGCAAAACAAAUCCUCAAAGACCACGACGCCAUCUUCGCCAACCGCGACAUUCCGGUGGCGGCCAUAAAAGGAACCUUUGGCGGCUCGAUAUUGUGUGGAGAUCCAAUGGCCCAGAAUUACACAAGCUACGAAAGCUCGUCGUAAGUGAAAUCAUGAGCAACAAAGGCCUCAAUGCUUGCUACGAGUUUCGCCGACGAGAGAUCCGACAUGUGGUGAAGAAUAUUCAUGGAAAAAUCGGGUCACUCAUUAACCUCAGUGAACAAAUAUUCUUAACAACGUUCAACAUUACGGUUAACAUGCUAUGGGGUGGUUCGUUGAAUGGAGAAGAAUCCAACCUUUUGCUUGAAUUUAAGGAUCGAUUCGAGGAAUUUCCGAGAUUGAUGGCAGAACUCAAUGUUUCUGAUAUGUUCCCGGUGCUUAGGCCAUUUGAUUUACAAGGAAUUGAAUCCAAAGCCAAGAAAAACAUUUCGUGGUUUUAUGAGUUUUUCGAAUCGGUGAUAGAGCAGCGAAGGAAGCUCGGAGAGGGACCAAAAAUGGCUGAUAGUAAGGAUUUUUUGCAGCAAUUGUUGGAGCUGAACCAAAUAGGAGAUGUCAAAACUUCAAUAUCCAUGAAGGAAAUAAAGGCUAUUCUACUGGUAAGCAUACACACUAAAUUUUGAAAUCCCGAAUUCUAAAAAUAAAACUGCAUUACUAAACUUCAAAAAUUUACAAAAUCUAUAUUACAUAUUUUAAUCUGGGUACACCCGAAUAAAAUUUAAAUAAUUUUAUACUUUUUCGUAACAUUUUAUAUAAUUAAUGUUUUAAUAAUUCAACCAUCAUAAUUCAUACUCUAUUUACCUAAAUAAUGCAAAUCAAAUUUGACAUAAAUUAAAAAUUUUUAACUAUUCAUUUUAUGUAAAAGAAAAUUCAAUUGUUCAUUCAUUAAAUAUUAAUCGCACAAAAAUAUAUAAAAAUGUAUAAAUUACUCCAAUUUCACAUCAACUUAAGUUGAUUCAUUCCCAUACAUAUAUGCAUAUAUAUAUAUAUAUAUAUAUAGACAUAGUUUUAAAAAAAGUACAUAGCAAUCCCUGAAAUUGGUCGGUUUAGUUAUAAACAAUAUGAUUUUAGAGAUAAAAUUUAGGAUUUUGUAAGUUAAUUUUUUAUUCAAAAUAUUAAUUCAACUGUUAAUAUUAAAAAUAUUUUCCGUCAAAAUUUAUCAACAUAUGAAAUGUUAAUUUGAGUGUUGUCAUAUGUGGUGAUAAUAAUUGAUAAAAAAAAUAUACUAACUUAAUAAAAUUUAACUGAAAUAUUAAUAAAGAUGUUAAUGACUGAAUUAUAAUUUUUAAAUUAAAAAUAUAAUGUAUAAAUCUCUAGAGGUAUCUUAACCUUUGAAUAAAGGGUACAUUUAAUUGGAUUGGAACUUAUUUUAAAGUAUAUAAAAUCACUUAAUUUGGCUAUUGAUAUAAAAAUAAACAUCUAACCUACCUAAUGUAUUUUAAUUUUACACUCUAAUCAAAAUUGAAUUAAUAGAAUUAAAUUAAUUAAAUUAUUUCAAUUCGAUAAAUUAAUUCAAUUUUAAUUAAAUUUUGCUUAACUUUAAUCUUUUGUCUCUAAUUGUGAGUAUAGAGUAUUGUAACUGGCACUACGGACACGACAUUUACAACAAUAGAGUGGGCGAUGACAGAAUUACUACGACACCCAGAUAAAUUGCGAAGAGUCGUUGAGGAAUUAGAUGCAAUAAUCGGUGACCAAAACAUUGUUGAAGAGUUCCAUCUUCCUCGCCUACUCUAUUUAGAAGCUGUGGUGAAAGAGACGUUACGAAUUCACCCACCGACUCCUUUGCUAAUGCCACACAUGCCGAGCGAGACCAUCGUCGUAGCCGGUUACACUAUCCCCAAAAAUUCCAAUAUUUUCUUCAACGUGUGGGCAAUACAAAGGGACACCCAGUUCUAGGAAGACCCUCUUCAAUUCGAGCCGGAAAGGUUCUUGAAUGUCAUUGAGAAAAGGAAUUAUAAGGGAAAUAGUUUCGAUUUUUUCCCGUUUGGAUCGGGGAGGAGGAUUUGUGUUGGGAUUUCAAUAGCAGAGAAAAUUGUGAUGCUGGUGUUGGCGACAUUGUUGCAUUGUUUCGAAUGGGAACUGCCGAAUGGGCAAAAACCUGAUGUGAAAGAGAAACUACUAUUGGUGUUGUCGAAAGCUGAGCCACUUAUUGUUGUGCCCGUUGCGCGCUCAUCUAAUUCAAUGCAAUAUCAAUAAAUUUGUGGUUAAAAUAUGCUUUAAGUCACUAUACUUUUCAUAAAUUUAAAAUUUAAUCCUUAUAUUUUUAAUCACAAAAAUUUAAUUCCUCUACUUUUUUAUUAGUAUUAUAAUAACCAUAUGUCUAUACAUGAUUAUUUAUAUAAAUAUAUAUAUCUUGAAACUAUAUUGUGCACUCUUAUGUUGGGAUGAAAAUAUGUAUUUUUAAUCUAUAUAUUUGCAUGUUAAUAUAUUUUGCGGGUCAUAGAAUAUGCAUAUAUUUAAAUAUAUGUGUCAUGUACAUGUGUUUUGAUAUGAUGUUAUAUGUAUGGCCAUUUGCCAAUGGAUAUAUUUGUUUGUGUUAGGGUGCUUAGAAAUUAUUUGUUAUGCUUUGGUAGAAUUGUAAUUUUCUUUUAUUUCAUUAUUCGUUGCAUUAAAAUUAAAGUGAUUUUACAUAUUUUUAUAAUUUUUUUAUAUUAUUAAUAUUUUAAUAAUUUAACCAUCAUAUUUCAUGUUCUAUUCAUGUAGAUCAUAUAUAUCAAAUUUGGUAUAAAUUAAUAAUUUCUAGCUAUUUAUUUUAUGUAAAAAAAAACUUUUAACUCAUAUCAAACAAAAACGGACAAAUUAUUCCUUACAUGUUAAAUUAAAUAUCAAACAAAAAUGGAUGUGAAAGAGGUGAGCGUUCAAUUUCGAGUUAGUCGAGUUAAUGAGUCCUAUUUUAUCAUCCUAAUUUGAUUUAAAUUUUUUUUUCAAAUCGAGUUGAGUGAAAUGAAAUUCUGAGUGAAAUUGAAUUGAGUGAAAUUGUUCAAAUUAAAUUUUAAAAAACUAAACUUGUCGAAUUGGUAAUUUACUUGUUUAAGCCUUCAAAAUUAUUAUUUUGUAUUCUUUUAAAUAUUUUUUUAUAUUUUCUUUAGAUUUUUUUAUAUUUUCUAUUUUUGUAAUGGCCUAAAUUCAAGGUUAUCGGAACAAUGGUUUCGUAACCAUAGAUCCGAUUUAAAGAGAAAUUUAUUUCAAUAUUUUUUCUUGAAAAUUGAUAUGAUAGGAAAAUCGUAUGAAAAUAUUGAUAGAAAAAAUUUACCGAUUUAGUGGUUAGUUAGAAAAAGAAAUUAUUGAAGAAAUUGGGUAAAAACAAGAUAUCGGGACCUCUAUCUUAUAAAACCAGUCGAAAAUAAUUUUAUAAAUAUUUAUGAAAUGUUAUUAGUGUGGUAUUAAAAUAUCGUUAGGAAAUUUUAAUGUUUGGGUAGUCAAUUAAAUGAAAAGAACUAAAUUGUAAUAGGUGUAAAAGUUGCUAGAAUGAUUAAAUAGCUUAAGAGUCUAAUGAGAAAGGAUUUAAAAGGCAAUUAGACCCAAAAGUUAUUUGGACUGGACGGCAAAGGUAUGAAAUCAGCAGAAAAAUUGAUAAAUUAAGGGUAAAAUUGGAAUAUUGCAAAAUUAACUAAAUAAAGCUAGGGCUAAAUAGGAAAUAUCUAGAUUUCUCUUCAUUUCUCUUCAAUUCCAGCAGCUAAAAACGCCAUAGGAGGGUUCUCUAAGCUGGUAUUUCAUAUUUUUUGCACCAAAUCCAGAAGAUUCAAAUACGAAGCUAGAUCGAGGAAAGGAAAAAGUUCGGGAUUAGUAGAUUUUUUUUGUUUACAAACAAGUAUCAAUGUAAGUUCGUGUAACUUGAAUUAUAUUAUUAAAUGCUUGAGAUUGUAUGUUAUUGAUGUGAAUAUGAUUUGAAUGUUCAUUGUAUGAAAAUUUAUGAAACAUUGAUAUAUUUGAUAAAAUGGGAAGAAAUCCCGGUUGAAUGAAAGGAAAAUUCGAUGGAUCUCUGAAAAGGAAUUGACGGUAAAAAGGAUCUAGCCCGGACGGGUGAUCCUAUCCUGAUAUAGCCCUCCCGAAGAAUAUGUGUAAAAUGGAUUUAGCCCGGACGGGUAAUCCGAAUUAGGAUUUGAAUUUAGCCUGGACUGGUAAUUCAGAUCCAAGCUCAUUAGAGUAAUUGUCGUUGCAGGGGAUUUAGCCUGGACUGGUAAUCCCGCUGCAAGGUUGAGGUUCGCGGGAGUGUGCUCUCUGAAAUGGAAAUGUGCGCACGUGAAUAUGAAUUGACGGACCCGGAAUUGUACACUAAAAGUGUACCUCUGAAAAUCCAUCGAAAUUCCAAGAAAUUCAACGAGAUAAAUAUGGAAAAAUAACAAGGAAAUGGAAAUCAUGGUAUUGACGAGCUCAUCAAUCAUGGUAUAUAUUAUUGAUACAUGGAAAUUAUUGUACUAACUUGAAUGUUGAGUUUGUGCAUGUUAGGGUAAUAAUGCAUUGAAUGGAUAUAUGAAUGUUUAUUAUAUUGUAUUGAAAAUAUUAGGUAAGUAUAAUUCUUGUUACAUGAGCUUACUAAGCACAAAGUGCUUACCCCGUUUCCUUUUUGCCUAUUUUGUAGUGUUAAGAGCUCGGAGGUCGGAUUUGGUCGGAAACACAUCACACUAUCAACCUCAGGACUUCGGUAUAUAAAGAAACUUUAUUUUGGAAAUCAAUGGCAUGUAUAAGCUAAUAAAGUAAAUGUUAACGUGAAAUGAAUGUAAAGUUAGCCAUUAGUAUGGUUACCAAACCUGGUUUUAGAUAUGUGAUGACGUUAUCUUAUAAAUACGCAUGAAUUUAUCUUGAAAAUAUGUUGAAUUGAUUUGGUUGAUGUGGAUUGGUCUCGAUUUAAUAUUACAGGGAAGGUUAGAUAUUUAUUAAAGGGGCUAUAUUGAAUAUAAAAAAAAUUAAUUCAUAAACUCCGAUAAUGCCUCGUACCCUAUUCUGGCAAUGAAUACGGGUAGGGGUAUUACAAUUUUCAUAAAUUUUUUAAAUAAAAAAUUAUGAAUUUUUUGAAUUUUUUUUAAAUUAUUUUGAUUUUUUUUGUUGGAUGAGAGUAAUUUACUCAUUUUCGAAAUUGAUAGGGGCGAAAUGUAUUUACAUCAAUAUGUUAUUCAAGUCAUUUCAAUUGUGAAAUUCAACUCGACUUAAACUUGAAAAACCAAAUCACUUAUUUGAGUUAGACUCAAAAAACCGAAUAACUCAAAUAACUCAAUUCGAUUAACUCGAAAUUCAAAUUUUUUUUCAAUUCUUUCAAAUAAAAUCGAGUUUUACUCACAGUUAGCUAUCAAGUUUGACAUUAGGAUCUCUCACCAUUUUUAUAUUUUCUAAUUUAUAGAUGGAUGAUUGUGUAAACUAAUUACAAACAUCAUUCCUUUUAAUUCAUUCCUUUUUAUAAUUCAUAUAAAUCCUUAAAAAUUCAUAUUCUAUUAAACAAAAAUAAGUACAUAUGUAAUUACUUAUCGCUUAAUGAAAAAUUAUUUUUUAUUUUUAUUUUUUAAAAAAUCAAAUUUUUAUUUUUAUUUUUAUCUAAAAUAUCUGAAAUAAUAAUAAGAUUAAAAUUAUUUUCAUCAAAAACCUAAAACCAUGAAAUAAUUUUUAAAAAUCAUAAUUUAUUAUAUUAUCAAAGAACGUAUCGUAUUUGAUAUGUAAGAUUAAUAAAUAUAUCGAUAAAAGUAUUAUAGAGGCUUCUAUAUUAGAAAUCAAAUUAUAUUUUAUUUUCUCUACUAAUAAAAUAGUCAAGUUAGUCUAUAUAUGUUAGAUUAAAGAGCAAAUUGAUCAUUUGUAUUAAAAUUUUCAUUCAUUUAUACUAUUAAAAACUAACGUGACCGAUGAAAACAACGAGGGUGACAUAUGGAUUAAAAGUUUUGAAUUAUCUUUGAAUAUUUAAUUUGAAAAAGAAAUACUAAAUAAGAUAUUUUGAUUGGAUUAAUAGUAGUCCUUAGAUUAAAGUUUCAAUAAUCAUGUAACAUCCAUGACAUCCCUUGAGAAGUGAACAGUGUUAAUUAGGGUUGGCACGUGCUUGAAAUUUUCAGAGUAGAUAAAAAGUAUAAUUAUUAAUAUUAGUAGGGAAGGUGAUUGGAAAUUAUAAGAAAUUAGAAGGACUUCUGAAUUUAGGAAAAUUAAUUUAAGAAAUGGAUUAAAUUGUAGAAGUGUGAGAAGUGUUGGGUCAUGGUGUAAAAAUAAAGAAAAAAAGCAAGAACUUGGAGUAGAAUUUAACCAUGAAAUAACAGAAAGGUGUGGAUGAUAUUGAAGACGAAUGACAUCACGCAUGUGGCAUGAUGAUGAGAUUUUUCUUGAAUAAAAUAUAUAUAAAAAAUGUGAAAGAUAUUUUGAUAGAAGGUUGUAGAAAAAAAGGACAAAGGACCAAAAACAUAAUCCCAUCUUUUCUACGCACCAUUGACGUCUCAGUCUCCCCAAUUUCUCAAGUUUCAUUUUUCUUCCAUUUUAGUCCAUUUCACCAUUUUAAGCCCUUUUCAAGUUUUAAACUCCAAAUUUCUUCAUAGGUUGUUAGUAAGAUCAAGAGAACAACUCAAAGCAAGCAUAUUAUCUUGCAAGGCUAGCUAAAAUUUAUUUUGGAGUGAAAACGAAAGGUGAAGAAAAGUUUGGGAUUUUAGAAAAGUUAAGCUUGAAGAUGGAUGUUGGAAGUGGAAGAAAUUAAGGUAAGUUGUUUAAACUUAUUAUUUAUGUUUUUUUGAUUGUAUAAUUUAAUAUGAAAUUGUAAGAAUUAAGUGUAUAUAAAUAUUUUCUAUGUUUAAAGUGAUGAAAGUAUUAUGUUUAUGUAUGAAGUGAAUGGUAAGUGUGAGUGGUUUAAUUAUGAAAACUUUUAGUUUAAAAUUUUAUUAGUUUGAAUGAUUAAUUGUGUAUUUAUGAUGUUGAAAGUGAUAAAUAUUGAUUUUGAAUUUUUUUGGAGGAGUAAAUUGAAAAAAAAAUUGUUAAGUGAUUAAUUUGAUAAAAAUUGAAGUAAGGAUUAAAUUGUAAAUUUGGAAAAAAAAAAUUUGGGGUCAAGGAUUUAAACAGAGAGAUUAAAUUUGGGAUUCUUAUAAUAAGACUAUAAGAAUAUGAUAUUUAAAGUAUUGAAAAUUUGUACUUAAAUUAGCAUAUUUUUAAUUAAAAGGACUAAAUUGAGAAAUUUUUAAAAGUUCAAAAUUUUAAGUGUUGAAAUGUGAAACUCUGGAAUUUUAAUAUCUUUAUUGUUAAGUAUGGUUUUCGAAAUAACAAAAAACCAUUAUGUGAUAAGAAUUGAUGAUAUAGGGACUAAAUUGUAAAUAUUUUAAAUUUUAUAAAUUUAAAAAAAAAAGGGACUGACUUUAAAAUCUGGGAAUUCUUUGUUGUUUUUGGAAGAAACAGAUUCUGUUUUCAGGGACUAAAAUCAUAAAACAGUAAAAUUUGAACUUCAUAGACUAAAUUGUAAAAUUUGAAAAUUUGAAAAUUUCUGAACUGUUCUGUAAAAUCUGCAAUAUUGAAAAAUGGGGGCUGUUUAGUAAAUGCUGGAAAAGCAUAAGAGUGAAAAUGAGCAAAUUAAUUAUACAAGUAUUUAAAUGGAAUUUUUGAGAAUUUAUUGAAUUAACUGUAAUAAACAAAAUAAUAAUAAUUAAGUAAAAAUAAAAUAAAGGAAAUUUGAAUUUGUAAAAUUAGUUGUAUUAAAGUGAAGAGAAUCAUAUUAUGAAGUAUAUGUUAAAAGAGAAAUAUGGUUUAGAGUAGAUUAAAUUAACAAAAGAAAAAAAUUAAAGUAUAAUUAAUAUCGGUACAUUUUAAGAAAGGAUUAAAUUGAAAAGAAAUUAAAUUAUGACGCAAAAGGCAAGGGUGUUUUUCGUAACUGUCAAUAGAUCAGGUAAGGGUGUUGGGGUGUUACAUACUCAAUAUUUAUGUAAUUUAUAGGAGAAUAUUUUUUUCCAUUAGUAUAAAAUGAUAAAAAAAAAAAGUCCUCCAAUUUUUAUGGGAGUGCUGAAGUUCCAUAAUUCUUUUAAUAAAUUCAGAUCUGUGAUUUGGGAGAGUUGUUGCCACAUGACUACAUUUCCACUGCUCUUUUUUUUUUUUUUUCUAUUCAAACCAGAGUACCCAUCGAUGUCGAACUUCUACGAUAAGGUUGCAGUCCUUGCCGGCGACAGCUGGUUGCGUCUCCACGAUGGACUCGCUGCAUUCACUAUCACCGAAGUUGCAGCCACUCUCACUUUGGCGACGCUACUAAUUAUCUAUUUCUCACGGUUGGUUAAGAAACACAUCAUCAAAACUAAGCUGUCGCCGCCAGGCCCGGUAGGCUUGCCGAUACUCGGCCACCUCCUUUUCAUCAAACCCGAUUUCCUCCAAUACGUAACCAAGCAAUCCCAAAUCCAUGGUCGUAUCAUCAAGCUUCAUCUGGGAAGAAAAGUUUACAUCAUCAUAAGCUCACCAUCAAUCGCAAAACAAAUCCUCAAAGACCACGACGCCAUUUACGCCAACCGCGACAUUCCGAUGGCGGCCAUAAAAGGAACCUUUGGCGGUCUUGACAUUUGUGGAGACCCAACGGCCCAGAAUUGCAGAAGCUACGUAAGCUCGUCGUACGUGAAAUCAUGAGCAACAAUGGCCUCGAUGCCUGCUACGAAUUUCGCCGACGAGAGAUCCGACAAAUGGUGAAGAAUAUCCAUGGGAAAAUCGGGUCAACCAUUAACCUCAGCGAACGAAUAUUCUUAACAAUGCUGAGCGUUACGAUGAGCAUGCUAUGGGGUGGUUCGUUGAAUGGAGAAGUAGCAAAGCUUGGGCUUGAAAUUAAGGAUCGACUAGAGGAAUUUAUGAAAUUGAUGGGAGAACCCAAUCUUUCUGACAUUUUCCCGAUGCUUAGUCCAUUCAAUUUACAAGGAAUUGAAUCCAAAGCCAAGAAGCAUGUGUCGUGGUUUUAUGGGUUUCUCGAAUCAGUGAUAAAGCAGCGAAUGAAGCUCGGAGAGGGACCAAAAAUGGCGGACAGUAAGGAUUUUCUGCAGCAAUUGUUGGAGCUGAACCAAAGAGGAGAUGCCAAAACUUCAUUAUCCAUGAUGG